GACGAACGCUGGCGGCGUGCUUAACACAUGCAAGUCGAACGAUGAACCAGGGCUUGCCUUGGGGAUUAGUGGCGAACGGGUGAGUAACACGUGGGCAACCUGCCCCUGACACUGGGAUAACUCCGGGAAACCGGGGCUAAUACCGGAUACGAACCUCGACGGCAUCGUCGAGGUUGGAAAGUUUUUUCGGUCAGGGAUGGGCCCGCGGCCUAUCAGCUAGUUGGUGGGGUAAUGGCCUACCAAGGCGACGACGGGUAGCCGGCCUGAGAGGGCGACCGGCCACACUGGGACUGAGACACGGCCCAGACUCCUACGGGUGGCAG
rnacentral:rRNA from 1 species